AGUGAACGCUGGCGGUAGGCUUAACACAUGCAAGUCGUACGGCAGCACACUCUGACCCCGCCUUUCCGGGUGGCGCGUGGCGGACGGGCGUGGAAAACAUCCGCAUCUACUUUUUCGUGCAGGCUAACGCAGGGAAUCACACGCUAAUAUCGCAUACGACCUAAUGGCGAAAGCAGGGGAUCUUCCGCCCCCGCGCGACCGAACGUGCUGUUGUCGGAUUAGUUAGUUGGCGGGGUAAAGGCCCACCAAGGCGUCGCCCCGUAGCUGGUCUGAGCGGCCGAGCAGCCAGACUGGAGCUGGGGCACGGUCCAGACUCCAACGAGAGGCAGCAGUUGGGAAUAUUGGACGAUGGGGGGAAGCCUGAUCCAGCCAUACCGCGUGGGUGAAGAAGGCCUUCGGGUUGUAAAGCCCUUUUGUUGGGAAAGAAAAGCGGCAGGUUAAUACCCCGCUGUUCUGACGGUACCCAAAGAAUAAGCACCGGCUAACUACGUG
rnacentral:rRNA from 1 species